CGGCCACCCAUCUUCAACUAAAAAAAACUCUUUCUCUUCCUCCCACGCCACACACUCUCCCACCUAAACCUAAACCUAAACCCAGGUCACCUGCCGCCGCCGGCCCCUGACUUGCCGGCCGAUUUGCUCACGCUGCCGCCUCUCCCACCACCAACGGCGCCUCCCAAAGCAGGAGAUCCACCGCGACCGAAGCAGGUCAGGCGGCGGCCCUGGCGCACCUAGAUCAGCCAGCGCCUUCCGACGUCGAGCUCCUCUGCUCCCAGCGCCAGAUCCACCUAUGGCUCCAUUCUCCACAACCACGCACCGGCAGCCGCCAUGGAAGGUGCUCUAUGUGCUUGCUUCUUCCCUUCCGGGGACGCCGCUACUCUGACGCCAUGGACAAAUGAUUACAAAAGGUUGAUGCAAACCAGCUCCAGAAUGAGCUCAAGGCAUAGAGAAAGAAUGAGGAGGAGGAGAUGAGCACACUUCUGAACCACUACCUCCAUUUCUGUGCAGUUCUAGAAGGAGCUCAAACAUAUUUCUCAUGCCUCUGAAUUUCCUUUUUCUUGUACUGGAUAUCUUCUUGUUCUUUCACUCCUAACCAGUAGACUUCUAAUCUAGGUGCUCAUUAUUUCUACUUGUUUGUUGUCUCAGGGAUCACAAGUUUAAUGUUUACUAAAUCAAGAAACCUUCUGAAUCUGCUAACAUAGCCUCCAUUUACUCUCUGCUCAAGUCUGUUUGUGGCAUAUCUUAUUUUAACUUCUGUUUUAGUCUGCUCAAGUGGAGAUCUCCGUAAACUUCAGAAAUCAUAGUCACGAAAUUGUAGGGAUAAAAGGGGUAAUGGAAAAUUGCAUUUCUCUAGUCUCAGUUUGUUCUUCCUUGGCGCCCUACUAUUUACAUUUUUUCUAUUUGGUAUGUAUAUUAGUAAUGAAUGUCCACUUCUCCUAUCUAUAUUUUCAUAACUAUGUUUCUUAAUUAUACUACUAAUUCACACGAAGUUGUUUGGUGGAUAGUGCAGUUUUAACCUGCUGCUUCUCGAUAAAAGUUGUUGCCAUGUAUUUAACUCAUCACAUAAUUUGCUCAGUAUGCAUAUUUUGCACUAUUUUUUAUUAAGCAUCAUGGUCUGAUAUGUGCUACUUGCAGGAGAAAAGAUGGAAGGAACAAGAGGUGGAAGUGAGCUCCCAGCAUAUGAACAAUCGAGGCUUGCAAGUAUUGCAGAAAACAAAAGUAAGUUGAGAGCUCUUGUUGAAAUAAAAAGAAAAUAUUUAGCAUUGGGAGAAAACAUGAGGCCCUCUGGGGAAGUAGGCGGCUCGUCCCAGCGAGCCAAUAAUUAAGUUUAUUCGGAGUUGUCAUUGCAAAGUGUAGCUGGCAUCAAGAGCUAUGCUCGUAGCAGGCAUGAAUUGGCUGAAGAACUUGGUUAUGACAUGCAGAGAGAUGAAAUAUUUGUCAGAGCACAUACACGUAAAAUUGGAGUUCCUACCGCACAAGCGGAGACACUAAUUAAACAACCUGAAGAAACAGCUGAACCACCAACAACACUUGCAAUGGAAAUUCAAUUUCAUCGACAAGAUGAACAAGUUUCUACUCUACUAGGGCGCACAGAAAAAAUGCAAUGAUAAAUUGGAGAGAUGCAUCAAGUUCUCUUUUCUCAAGGCAUCAGAAAUGUGGAAACACUAGGGACAAAUGGUAGAAAGUAGCAAGUCCACUGGCUGAUUGAAGAUGUUCUCGUGAUUGCUUUUGUUGAGAACAUGGAUGACACAUUUUGUUCAUACGGAAGUUGAUUUGGUUUGGCAAUUAAAGAGUUGGUCUUCCAUAAUAUUCUGUAGCAGUAGCAGUCCAGUGAACAAGCACUUGGUCUCUUAUGAACUUUGGCCAUUAUGUUUGUAACAUGCCUCUCUUGUAUAUGUGACUUGUGCAUUUCCAUAAUGGUUGUAGCUAACUUGAGUGAAGAAAACUAAUGAAUCUUCUAUAUAUAGUGAAUGAAUGCAUUGGUCAA